AGCUUUCGCCCCUAUCUGAAAAUUAAGAGAAACUUCCAAUGUUGAAUGCGUGAUUGGUCUUACUGAA